rnacentral:rRNA from 1 species
AACGAACGCUGGCGGCAGGCUUAACACAUGCAAGUCGAACGCACCGCAAGGUGAGUGGCAGACGGGUGAGUAACGCGUGGGAACCUUCCCUUUGGUACGGAAUAACUUCGGGAAACCGAAGCUAAUACCGUAUAUCUCCUGCGGGAGAAAGAUUUAUCGCCAAAGGAUGGGCCCGCGUUGGAUUAGCUAGUUGGUGUGGUAAUGGCGCACCAAGGCGACGAUCCAUAGCUGGUCUGAGAGGAUGAUCAGCCACACUGGGACUGAGACACGGCCCAGACUCCUACGGGAGGCAGCAGUGGGGAAUAUUGGACAAUGGGGGCAACCCUGAUCCAGCCGUGCCGCGUGAGUGAAGAGGGCCUUAGGGUUGUAAAGCUCUUUUGGCGGGAACGAUAAUGACGGUACCCGCAGAAUAAGCCCCGGCUAACUUCGUGCCAGCAGCCGCCGUAA